UACGUAGGGACCGAGCGUUGUCCGGAAUCAUUGGGCGUAAAGAGCGUGUAGGCGGCCACUUAAGUCCUGCGUGAAAUCCUGCGGCUCAACCGCAGGCGGUCGUGGGAAACUGGGUGGCUAGAGUGCGGGAGAGGAGAGUGGAAUUCCCGGUGUAGUGGUGAAAUGCGUAGAGAUCGGGAGGAACACCUGUGGCGAAGGCGGCCCCCUGGGCCGGCCCUGACACUGAGACGCGAAGGCGUGGGGAGCGAACGGG
rnacentral:rRNA from 1 species